rnacentral:rRNA from 1 species
GAUGAACGCUAGCUACAGGCUUAACACAUGCAAGUCGAGGGGCAGCGGGAUUGAAGCUUGCUUCAAUUGCCGGCGACCGGCGCACGGGUGAGUAACGCGUAUCCAACCUUCCGUACACUCAGGGAUAGCCUUUCGAAAGAAAGAUUAAUACCUGAUGGUAUGAUGAGAUCGCAUGGUAUCAUCAUUAAAGAUUUAUCGGUGUACGAUGGGGAUGCGUUCCAUUAGGUAGUAGGCGGGGUAACGGCCCACCUAGCCUACGAUGGAUAGGGGUUCUGAGAGGAAGGUCCCCCACACUGGUACUGAGACACGGACCAGACUCCUACGGGAGGCAGCAGUGAGGAAUAUUGGUCAAUGGGCGAGAGCCUGAACCAGCCAAGUCGCGUGAAGGAUGAAGGAUCUAUGGUUUGUAAACUUCUUUUAUAUGGGAAUAAAGUGAGGAACGUGUUCCUUUUUGUAUGUACCAUAUGAAUAAGCAUCGGCUAACUCCGUGCCAG